AGCGCAGUAGUGCCAGCUUAAGAGGCUGUGCCUCACUGUAGGGAAUCCCCACUUCACCACAGCAAUAAGUAUACUGUGACACCCUGAGGAGCAGGGCAGGGGUAUAAUGGCCAUGUUAGCUCAGUAUGUUAUCACCAUGUUAUCAGUGCUGGGCAGAGGCUCCCAGCCCCCAGCACUGCACUCAGCUGCUCCAUCCGUGGUCCUUGCCCUGCUCACUAUGGUUUUACCUCCAUUUCAGCCCCAGAAGGGGAAGUUGACCCCAAGUCCUGUUGACUUCACGAUCACCCCGGAAACCUUGCAGAAUGUCAAAGAGGUAUUUGUCUCUCAAUCACACUUGUGUGUUGUGGCUUUCCUGAGAACGUGACCCAAUGACCAGCUACUGCCCAGUUGUUCUUCAGGGACAGAGGUUUCCAAUGGUGUUUGUACCCAAGGGCUGUUUUCAAAUUGAUUUCAUGUUGAGCUCACUAAUUAUUUAGG
rnacentral:lncRNA from 1 species